rnacentral:rRNA from 1 species
AUACGUAGGGCGCAAGCGUUAAUCGGAAUUACUGGGCGUAAAGCGUGCGCAGGCGGUUUUGUAAUACUGGGGUGAAAUCCCCGGGCUCAAACUGGGAACGGCCAUUGUGACUGCAAAGCUGGAGUGCGGGCGAGGGGGGAGGAAUUCCAGGGGGAGCCUAGGAAUGCGAAGAUAUGCGGAAGAACACCUCUGGCGAAGGCGAUCCCCUGCGCCUGCUCUGACUCUCAUUCGCGAGAGCGUGGGGAGCAAAGAAGAUUAGAUACCCGUGUAGUCCACGCCCUAAACGAUGUGAACUGGUUGUUGGGGAUUUAUUUUCUCAGUAACGAAGCUAACGCGUGAAGUUUACCGCCUGGGGAGUACGGCCGCAAGGUUAAAACUCAAAUGAAUUGACGGGG